UUUUCCAUUUCUUCUUCCCCAGUUUUCCUAAAUCAUGGUCUUCUACCUUCCUUUUUCCCUUAUCUCUCGGAGCUGCAAACGAAGUGUUGCUUGAGGCUCCCAUCUGAUUGAUUUGGAUUUGAAGCUUAUCCUGCUCUUCCAUUGUUUCUAUUAACGCUUGACGCAAUUGACUAUUAAGCAAUUUUUUUGUCUUCCACAACCCUUCUAGAGAAGAUACCUUGUUCC
rnacentral:lncRNA from 1 species